UUGUAUUCAGUUGGUUUCAGUUAAAUUUGUCACUUCUCAGUUCAUUUUUGGUAGCAAAAACUAGCUGGGCAGUGUAUGUAUAUUAUAAACCUGUAAACCAUUCCCUUUGAGUUUAUGUAAACAAAAAUGAACUGAAAAAAUGAACUGUUAUAAUAGCUGGGCAGUGUUUUCUGUAAACUGUAAUGGUACUCUUUGUUUUUCCUAAUUUAUGUUCUACUUUUAAGGAUUUCCUUGUCAAGUGCACAUACAGCUUAUGAUAUCCUUCUUGUAAACUGCCCACUAAACUAUGGAGUGGAUUCACUUUAUUGCAGUUUAUUCAUUUGUGCAAGUCAUUCACAUUAUUGCAGUUUCAGUUUCUAUAAAUUUACUUUAUAAUGAAGUUAGAAUGCAGUUUCAGUUUCAG
rnacentral:lncRNA from 1 species